rnacentral:misc_RNA from 1 species
UCUAGAGUCUGCACUGGACUCAAACGUUCACACUUAUCGGCUGUUGAGAAGUUCAAGAAACGAGCGCGGGUCUGUAGCUCAGCUGGUUAGAGCACCGUGUUGAUAACGCGGGGGUCGUUGGUUCGAGUCCAACCAGCCCUACCACGGAUCAUGCGGUAGUAAUUCCGAGGGGGAUUAGCUCAGCUGGGAGAGCACCUGCUUUGCAAGCAGGGGGUCGUCGGUUCGAUCCCGUCAUCCUCCACCACUCUGAUUCACUGCAUUUAUCCAAGCCCGGCAGUUGCCGAGUUUCAGUAAGUGUAGUUCUCGUUCUUUAACAAUCUGGAAGAAGUAAAGUUUUCUUUAAGCGUGUAGCCAACGAAAGUUGGACGCACACUUAGGGUAGAAAAUCUGUUGUAUCAACAAACAAAGUAAGCUGUCAUUUGCCUGUGACGUUCCCUGACACUCAUGCAGGGGCCAACGUUAUAGGGACAAGUGUAUAAGUGCACAUGGUGGAUGCCUUGGCGAUUACAGGCGAUGAAGGACGUAGUAGCCUGCGAAAAGCUACGGGGAGCUGGCAAACGAGCUUUGAUCCGUAGAUGU